rnacentral:rRNA from 1 species
GGGGGGGGGGGGGGGGGGGGGGGGCGCGGGGGGGGCGAGCGGGGGGGCCCUGCGGGGGGGGGGUGCGCGGGGGGCGAGCGGGUGGGUGACGCGUGCGUCGCCUGCCCUGGCCUUGGGGAUACCUUCCGGCACCUGGGGCUAAUACCGGCUAGGCGCUCCUGCUGCGUGGUGGGGGUUGGAAGGUUGCGGCGGUUGGGGAGGGACUCGCGGCUUAUCAGCUGGUUGGUGGGGUAGUGGCUUACCAAGGCUUUGACGGGUCGCCUGCCUGAGAGGGUGACCGGCCACAUGGGGACUGAGAUACGGCCGAGACUCCUACGGGAGGCAGCAGUGGGGAAUAGUGCACAAUGGGCGGAAGCCUGAUGCAGCAACGCCGCGUGCGGGAUGACGGCCUUCGGGUUGUAAACCGCUUUCGCCUGUGACGAAGCGUGAGUGACGGUAAUGGGUAAAGAAGCACCGGCUAACUACGUG